CUCUUUCUCUCUUUCUCUCUUUCUCUCUUUCUCUCUUUCUCUCUUUCUCUCUCUCUUUCUCUCUUAUUUAUUAUUUUUAAUUUUUUUGUAACGUGGCAGAUGCUGGUUUUCCACGCACGCUGCCAGCUCCACAGAAACGCCUUUUAUUUCUUCUUCUUCUUUUUUUUUUUUUUCCUUUUUUUUUUUUUUUUUUCCCCUCUCCCCUCCCCUUCUUUUUAUUAACACGUUCCUUUUAGAAACAAAGGUUCGACGCAAAACGCUGCCCCUGAUGAAAUGUGGAAGGCGCCCGGUCUGGCUGCUGGCAUCAAGACCUGAAAUGGGAGGAGAGACCUCUUCUACUUCUUCUCAGCACCAGCACUCCAUGACCCUUCCUCCCACCCCAGUGCUGGACAGAGCAGGAAGAGGCUACAGACAGAGACCAGCCCUCAGACAAACAGGACAUGAGCAAGGGGCACACCUGCUGAGCAGUGCCAGAGUCACAGGUCUCCACUGCAGCACCUGGAGGCUGUUCUGACAGAACACAGCAGCACAGAGCCCUGCAGCACACACUGCUGCCCAGAGCACCAGGACCACGGGUUCCCCAUCUGCAGGAUAAAUUGUACAGGUGGUGACAGAGGCAGGACACCCCUGGUGAAGGCACACAACGCUUGAACCUCACCCUGUCUUCAGAAACAGCAUUAAUUAAUAAAUACUAGUGUUUGUGUAGCUGCAUCCAACACCUGCCACAGCGAGCUCUUGUUUCAUAUCCAUACUUGCCCUUUCCUUCAGCUUCAAACUCCUCCAUACUCAGUAUAUACUCCAGACCCUACUCCAUACUCAGCCUACUCCAUAUUCUACUUCUUUACAAUCUCUCCUGGUUCUUGUUCAAAGACUGAAACUUGCCACUGUUAGAGAAGUAGUCAUAAAUGUUCUACUUUUUACUCACCACAAACUCCCAAUGUUUUUCUCCAAAUUAGUAAUAUUUUUUAUUGUUCUAGCAACGGUAGAUUUGCUGA